rnacentral:rRNA from 1 species
AUGCCCCUCUGCUUUGGGGUCACCGGCGCCAAGCUCGACUUCGCCAAGAUCAGCCGCUUCACCGCCACCCAACUCAUUCUCGUCGUCGCCUUCACCACACUGCUCGGCACCACCGGGAGGGUGGCCGGCACGGUGGCAGCGGGGCGGAUGAUCGGCGUCCAUGCGCGGGAGACGCUCGUGCUCGGCUUACUGCUCAACGUCAAAGGCUACGUGGACAUCCUCGCGAUCAACCUUAGCGACAAGGCCGGGAUUUGGGGCGACGAGGCGCAGAGUGUGCUUCUCGUGUCCUCCAUCGUCAACACCUUAAUGGCCGGGCCAGCGUCCGCCGCCAUCGUCCGCCAGCAGCGCCGCGCCUUCCAGUACUGCUCGCACUGCCUCCAAGACCUCAAGUUGGACCAGGAGCUUCGGGUCCUCUUGUGCGUCCACGGCGCCGGGAGCGUCCAUGCCAUGCUCACGCUGGCCGAGAUCUCCAAGGGCAACACGCCGGUGGUCAUAUACCUCCUUCACCUCAUCGAGCUCAUGACCGCGCGCAAGUACGCCAUCACACAUUUCUACCACCCCAAGGGCGGCGCCGAUGACGACAACGGCCGGUGGAGCCACACCCGGAAGAUCGACCAGGUGGUCGCCGCGGUCGACCGCUUCACAAACGAUACCAUUGUCGCAGUGCGUCAGAUGACGGCCAUCUCCAGCCUUGUCUCCAUGGACGCCAACGUGUGCAAUGGCGUCGAGGACACACGCGCGUCCCUGGUCAUCGUGCUGUUCCACAAGGAGCAGCGCUACGACAGGCGGAUGGUGUGCCGCCGCGAGGGCCGGCGGGAGCUCAACCAAAGGAUCCUGCAGAGAGCGUCGUGCACCAUCGGGAUCCUCGUCGAGCGCCGCCUCGGUACCAUUACCAUAGCGGAGAGGCAGUCAACGGCCGAGGGCAUUCGGAGCGGGGCGGUAGACCCCAAAGCCGAAGACUCAGCCCAGCGCACAACGUGGUGGCUCUGUUCCUCGGCGGACCAGACGACCGGGAGGCUGUGGCGUACGCGACGCGGCUGGCGGCCCACCCGUCGGUGA